rnacentral:tRNA from 1 species
AGGGUAGCUCAGCCGGUAGAGCAGCUGAUUCGUAAUCAGCAGGUCGGGAGUUCGAAUCUCCUCCC